GCGACCAUACCAGCACUAAUGCACCGGAUCCCAUCAGAACUCCGAAGUUAAGCGUGCUUGGGCGAGAGCAGUACUAGGAUGGGUGACCCCCUGGGAAGUCCUCGUGUUGCACCU
rnacentral:rRNA from 1 species